GGAAGAUUUGGCCAGCCCGUGUGGAUUAAGAGUCCCCAACUUCAACCCACCACGACCACCACCUUAAUUUUUUUCAUCAACUGCCCUAAAUUUGUUUAGAGGGGUAUUCCACUAAGCGAGCUCUACAAGUCAAGGCUGGGCAGUGGGUCCAUGAAUAAACUGCCUCACUCCUGCAGGUGUCUUUCCAUACUUCCCAUCGUUCAAGAACCAAAAGAUGGCUGCUGCCCAGAAGCAUGUGCUGCGUGUGUAUGUUGAACAAGACACCGCCCUGAAACUUACUCUACUUGAGCAACCAAAGUCAGUGGAGGAGCUGAAAGAAAUAAUUCAAGAGAGGUUCAAGCCAAGACUGAAUGGGGACUUUAGCCUUCACUAUGUCCUCAUGGACACAACCUAUGCCCUAUGUCGCCAAGAAAUUGUUGGAGCUGUUGGAGCUCCACGAGUGAGAGACAUCGUGGACAGAUGGCCAGCCCUACUUAUGGAGUCAUCCAUAAGUCAUCCAGAAAUAAAAUAUAAAAUAUGUGGUUGCAGAGUUCCACCGAAUCAAGAAUGUUAACCUGCGCACUCAAUUCUACAAGGAGCUGGACAGACACACGCCUAGACUCAUCACUUUGUUCCGAGACAAGGCCAUCAAGACUGGAACAGCAUGAUGUAAAUACAAGACGGGUCCUCGUCCUUCAUGCACUUCCUGUGUACCUGCGUGAAGAUGCCUCCACGUUAUUCAGGACUUGUGAUUCAGCAGAUGGUCCAGACCUCACUGACACUCCUUUGGCUCUGCUGACAGUUGUCACGGAUGACACUACUGAUUCGGCCCUCUUCAGUCCCGAAAGCAUCUGCAUUGUCGUUGAGGAUGAAAUACUUGGUCCCACAAAUCUGGCUGACUCAUUUCUCCUGCUCUUUGGGUACAUCUAUGCACUAGAAUACAAUACCCAAAGAAACUUGAGCUUACAUUCACAUUUAUCCAGAAGGUUGUGAUGUGCCUUGAGGACAACAAACCACUGAAAGGGCGUCUACUGAUGCUGAAGAAUGAUUUGUUCAAUGAGUGAAUCACUCAGAAUGGACUACUUGUUGAGCUGAGUAUUGAGGAAGCUUUUUUUUUUUUCCUAAUCAUUUGGCUCUUCUACUUUAAAUUUAAAGUGAAUGACUGCUCAUUUCGUGGACUAUUCAUAUUUAACAUUCUGUUGCCUAAUACCUUAAUGCACUGCCUUGAUGUUUGUUACCUAUGAAGUACAGCAGUGGAAACCAGUACAUUUUUUUUUAUGUAUUUUUAAAAUAAGUGAGCUGCAGCUGUCAAGGUACAGUAAGUGUUAAAUGCCUCAAUGUUCUAAUAGCUGCAAUUGCUGUUAAUACUGAAAAUGUUAUUUAAUUUUAGAAUUGAGAUGGAGACCCUUGGAGUCUUUUUCUUUUGUUUUAUUUAUGAAGCACUUUUUUAUGCGUGAGCUCCGUUAUCUGUGCCUUUUUAAAAGCACAUUGUGUUUAAUAAAAAAAGUUGUUAAAUUGUUAGUGUUGUUACUUUUAUGUUUUCUAACACUUUUAGCUGAUUAUAAUUUACUGGGCAAACAGUUUAGAAUUAUUCGUAAAUGUAUUUCCCACAGUAUUUUAAAAAUAUUUAUUAGAUUUUAAGUGUUAUUUCCCAUAUUAUAAGUUAGAAAAUAUGAAAAAGUUUGAGUUUAUUUCCCACAUCGUAUGAGUUGCAAUAUGUAAAAUAUUUUGAGUGUAUUUUCCACCUUAAUUAAGUUGAAAAAUAUUGAACAUUUUGAGUUUAUUACUCCCUAAUUAUAAGUUGAGGAAUAUCAACAUUUAUAAGUUAACAUUGAGGUAAUUUAAGGCAACUGCAACUGUAAUUUUUAUUUUAGUUAAACUUAAAACUUUACACAACAAUUUUUUAGUGAUGUUUUUAAAUCUGUUACACAACAAUUUUUGAGUUCUGUGCACUUAUUAGGUUUUACAGUGUGUAAAUUGGGAAAAUCUAAUGUAAUGAAUCCCUUGGAACAAAGACAAUAUGUUAUAUCAACUGUCUCUUCUCUUCUCUGCUAUUUGAAGGAAAAUUCAGCUGUCAGUGGCUGAAGGCGGAAAUACAGCAGCCUGUUGUUUAUCGCCAUGAUCGUAAACCGAGAGGAGAAAUCCACUUUGAUGAAUCCUUGAAACACACAGGGGAGGUUAUAUGGACUGUAGCAUCUCUCCUCUUUGCUCGCAGCUCUCUGAGCUGGACAGGAUGGAGUCAUAUUCUUCUUUCUCAGACAGAUCAG
ensembl:lncRNA